GACGAACGCUGGCGGCGUGCUUAACACAUGCAAGUCGAACGGAAAGGCCCUGCUUUUGUGGGGUGCUCGAGUGGCGAACGGGUGAGUAACACGUGAGUAACCUGCCCUUGACUUUGGGAUAACUUCAGGAAACUGGGGCUAAUACCGGAUAGGAGCUCCUGCUGCAUGGUGGGGGUUGGAAAGUUUCGGCGGUUGGGGAUGGACUCGCGGCUUAUGAGCUUGUUGGUGGGGUAGUGGCUGACCAAGGCUUUGACGGGUAGCCGGCAUGAGAGGGUGACCGGCCACAUUGCGACUGAGAGACGGCCCAGACUCCUACGGGAGGCAGCAGUGGGGAGUAUGGCACAACGGGCGGAAGCCAGAUGCAGCAACGCCGCGUGCGGGAUGACGGCUUUCGGGGUGUAAACCGCUUUGGCCUGUGACGAAGAGUGAGUGACGGUAAUGGGUAAAGAAGCACCGGCUAACUACGUG
rnacentral:rRNA from 1 species